rnacentral:rRNA from 1 species
GUUUGUUUUUAUGAGCGUUCGGUGGAUGCCUUGGCAUCAGGGGCCGAUGAAGGACGUGGUGGCCUGCGAUAUUCCUCGGGGAGCCGGCUGGCGGGCUGUGAUCCGAGGGUUUCCGAAUGGGGGAACCCGGUACGAGUUAUGUCGUGUCACCUGCAUCUGAAUUGUAUAGGGUGUGGGGGGUGACGCGGGGAAGUGAAACAUCUCAGUACCCGUAGGAGAAGAUAUUCCGUGAGUAGUGGCGAGCGAAAGCGGAUGAUGGUUAAACCGUGUGCGUGUGAUACUCGGCAGGGGUUGCGUGUGCGGGGUUGUGGGGCUGUCCUGUUGGUCUUCUGCCGGAGACCGGGUGCGUGCUGAUCUGUAGCUGAAUCGUCUGGGAAGGCGUGGCGUAGUGGGUGAUACCCCCGUAGGCGGAACUGGUUGGUGCGUGUCUGGGGUGGUGCCCGAGUAGCACGGGGCUCGUGGAAUCCUGUGUGAAUCUGCCAAGACCACUUGGCUGCCUGAAUACCUCCUGAUGACCGAUAGUGGAUAGUACCGUGAGGGAAUGGUGAAAAGUACCCGGGAGGGGAGUGAAAUAGUACCUGGAACCGGGCGCUUGCAAGCCGUCAGAGCCUUCCACGCGUUUGUGUGUGGGGGUGGUGGCGUGCCUUUUGAAGAAUGAGCCUGCGAGUCAGUGGCGUGUCGCGAGGUUAACCCGUGUGGGGUAGCCGUAGCGAGAGCGAGUCCGAACAGGGCGAGUGUAGUGGCGCGUUCUGGACCCGAAGCGGGGUGAUCUACCCAUGGCCAGGUUGAAGCACGUGUAAGAGCGUGUGGAGGACCGAACCCACCUAGGUUGAAAACUGGGGGGAUGAGCUGUGGGUAGGGGUGAAAGGCCAAUCAAACUCCGUGAUAGCUGGUUCUCCCCGAAAUGCAUUUAGGUGCAGCGUCGCGUGUUGCCCGGCGGAGGUAGAGCUACUGGGUGGCUGAUGGGCCCCACAGGGUUACUGACGUCAACCAAACUCCGAAUGCCGUGCGGGUUGUAGCGUGGCAGUGAGACUGCGGGGGAUAAGCUCCGUGGUCGAGAGGGAAACAGCCCAGAUCGCCGGCUAAGGCCCCUAAGCGUGUGCUAAGUGGGAAAGGAUGUGCGGUCGCGCAGACAACCAGGAGGUUGGCUUAGAAGCAGCCAUCCUUGAAAGAGUGCGUAAUAGCUCACUGGUCAAGUGAUCGUGCGCCGACAAUGUAGCGGGGCUCAAGCACACCGCCGAAGCCGCGGACCCAUGACAUGGUUCCCUUCACCGUCCCGCAUUGCUGGGGUGGUGGCAGGGGUCGUGGGUGGUAGGGGAGCGUCCUGCACCGGGGGAAGCCUGUGGGUGACUGCUGGUGGACGGUGCGGGAGUGAGAAUGCAGGCAUGAGUAGCGAUACUAGGGUGAGAAGCCCUAGCGCCGAAUGACCAAGGGUUCCAGGGCCAGGCUAGUCCGCCCUGGGUGAGUCGGGACCUAAGGCGAGGCCGACAGGCGUAGUCGAUGGAUGACGGGUUGAUAUUCCCGUACCGGCGAAGCACCGCCCAUGCUGACGCGCGGGUGCUAACCCACGCCCAGCCACCAUGUAGGCCGCGCCUACUCCUUUCGGGGGGUAGUGUGGUUGUGGUGGUGGGGUCUGGGGAUCCUCCGUGCAGGUAGGCAAGCGUGUUAACAGGGGUGACGCACAGUGGUAGCCCGGCGGACCUGAUGGCUUGGUCCGUUCAAGCGCGCAGCCCGUCCUCCAGGUAAAUCCGGGGUGACUGUCUUUGAUGACGGGGGUGAGGCGUGAUGGUGACCCCACACUGGUGGGGGAUAGCAGGGUGAUCCUGGGGUGCCGAGAAAAGCCUCGACGCGAUGGUGCCAGCCGCCCGUACCCUAAACCGACACAGGUGGUCGGGCAGAGUAUGCCUAGGCGCACGAGUGAAUCAUGGUUAAGGAACUCGGCAAAAUGCCCCCGUAACUUCGGGAGAAGGGGGGCCCGAUCCCUUGAAGCCCCGUGGCGGGCUAGGGGGUGGGUCGCAGAGACCAGGGGGAAGCGACUGUUUACUAAAAACACAGGUCCGUGCGAAGCCGUAAGGCGAUGUAUACGGACUGACGCCUGCCCGGUGCUGGAAGGUUAAGAGGAACCAUCAACCCUCGGGUGAAGUGGUGAAUUUAAGCCCCAGUAAACGGCGGUGGUAACUAUAACCAUCCUAAGGUAGCGAAAUUCCUUGUCGGGUAAGUUCCGACCUGCACGAAUGGCGUAACGACUUCCCCGCUGUCUCAACCAUGAGCUCGGCGAAAUUGCAGUACGAGUAAAGAUGCUCGUUUCGCGCAGAAGGACGGAAAGACCCCGGGAC